GGGAGCUCUCUGCUAUAAUAUAUAUCUGUGGCUAUGAUGCUCUAGGUGGGUUUAGAAUAAUAGACAAGCGGGCGAUGGGUGCAACAACAACUGCCAAUUCCGACUACAGCGCGAUGACGGGGGAAAAAAAGAAGAGAAAUGCAAUAAUUCGACAAUAGGAGAUGGCAAAUUUUUGGGAGAACACAAAUCGUGCAACGCUACUUAGUGAAUCAGCGGUGAUUACCGUUUCACUGUGAAUGCCUCGUCAUUCUCUUUUCGCGCUGGCCUUCCCGCAACAGUCUACCUCGACACCAAGAAAACGUUCCGUUACUGAACGGACAAAGCUAGUAACGUUAGAUGUGACAACAACCAGUUAAGUUCAAUACAAAACGUAGGCUUGCAGUGGUUAGUUGUGGGGCGCUUUCAGACGUAACAUUAGCUACUAACGUUGAGGAGAUUGGGUGGGGAAGGGCCUAGGUUCUGUUGGCUAACGUUAACGUUGAAAUAUCUUCGUGUGACGUUAGCUAAAGGUCUGGUUUAAACCCAUGUAGCUAGCUAAUAACAUGCUAAAUACGUCCAGUUGUGUAAAAUGUGACCCAUUUGUCUGUCUGCAAUCCCGUAAUGGUGGCAUUGUGUAUAUAGGUAGCAAUGUGGUUCUGUGUUACACUCUGCUUGUGCUAGCAUGCUAACGUUAGCUAUUAGCGAUAAGUUAGACCCGCCAGUUUCCAUGUCGUCGAGGCUGCUAAGAAGACGGGAAACAAAGAAGCGAGAAAAUGGACGCCUUGGCCUAAACUCUCCAACCAAAUCGUCGAACUAUUCAAAGCUGUGCUGGCCAUGCUUCCUGGAGCGAAGAGUCUCGGUAUGCUGUCCUGAGAUGUCUCCACGUGCCUGUGCGCCAUCUUCCCCUCCUCUCCUGCGCCACACAGUGAAUUAAAGGACAA